AUUGCUUGAACCUGGGAGGUGGAGGUUGCAGUGAGCUGAGAUCACGCCACUGCACUCCAGCCUGGGCCACAGAGUGAGACCCUGUCUC
ensembl:miRNA